UAACGCGUGGGAAUCUGCCUUGGAGUGGGGGAUAACCGAUGGAAACGUCGGCUAAUACCGCAUACGUCCUGAGGGAGAAAGAUUUAUCGCUCUGAGAGGGGCCUGCGUCGGAUUAGCUAGUUGGUGGGGUAACGGCCUACCAAGGCGAUGAUCCGUAGCUGGUCUGAGAGGAUGAUCAGCCGCACUGGGACUGAGACACGGCCCAGACUCCUACGGGAGGCAGCAGUGGGGAAUAUUGGACAAUGGGCGCAAGCCUGAUCCAGCAAUGCCGCGUGAGUGAUGAAGGCCUUAGGGUUGU
rnacentral:rRNA from 1 species